rnacentral:rRNA from 1 species
GUGGGGAAUCUUCCGCAAUGGACGAAAGUCUGACGGAGCAACGCCGCGUGAGUGAAGAAGGUUUUCGGAUUGUAAAGCUCUGUCUUUAGGGACGAUAAUGACGGUACCUAAGGAGGAAGCCCCGGCUAACUACGUGCCAGCAGCCGCGGUAAUACGUAGGUGGCGAGCGUUGUCCGGAAUUACUGGGUGUAAAGGGAGUGUAGGCGGGGCUUCAAGUCCGUUGUGAAACCGAUCGGCUCAACUGAUCGUUGCGGCGGAAACUGGAGCUCUUGAGUGAGGUAGAGGCAGGCGGAAUUCCCAGUGUAGCGGUGAAAUGCGUAGAUAUUGGGAGGAACACCAGUGGCGAAGGCGGCCUGCUGGGCCUUAACUGACGCUGAGGCUCGAAAGUGUGGGGAGCAAACAGGAUUAGAAACCCGAGUAGUCC